AUCGAGACAGCAUGGAACUCUGGCAAUCUACUGUGAUUUUUCUCCUUUUGGGAGGAGCUUUUGGAACUGACACAACCUACUGCCCUCACCAUUUGAGCAAAAGCGAUCUGUAUGAGUAUGGAGAUUUAUGUCUCAAAGUUCACUAUGGAAACUGGGACUGGGAAACUGCGAGACAGAUCUGUCUUAACGAAGGAGGUGACCUUGUACAACCUAGAUCUCCCGGCAUGCAAGAGUACAUCCGGGUCAACUUACUUCCCCAGGUGCAGAAGUCAGAAGAAGAUGGGUUUUGGAUUGGAGCAACGGAUCUAAAUUCGGAAUCUCACUGGAGAUGGGUUUCAGGUUAGAAAUUUACAAAAUGGAUGAAGAUUUGUUAACGCAGAAUGCCAACAACUUAUCUCGUUUUGCAUUAAAGGCGACCCAAGCAUGCCUUAUUCAAACUGGGAGCCAGGACAGGGACCAUCUCAAUCCGGGUUUCUCUUUGCUGCUGGAGAUUUAGAAGAUUGUGCCAUCAUGCGUAUCCAAGAUGGAUUCAGAUGGCAUGACUACCCUUGCUCUAACUUCUUUUACCACUAUUCCUUUAUUUGUCAACAUAAGAAGCUUCCACGCUCCACUCACCACGUACAUCCAACUAAGUUGACGACUAAAUACGUUCCUCCGACAACAACUAAAUACGUUCCACCGACAACAACCAAAUAUGUUCCACCAACAACUACAAAAUAUAUCCCCCCGACAACAACCAAAUAUAUCCCACCAACAACUACAAAAUAUAUCCCACCGACAACAACCAAGUAUGUUCCACAAACAACAACAAAGUUCGAACCAGAAACCUAUUCAACAACCAGGUUUGUACCGUGGACGGAGAAAACAACAAUGCUUAGUCAGAAAACACGAUCGUCCACAGCGUUUGUGCCUCCUGAAGAAACCAAGCUCCCUACCUCAACACCAGAACCUGCCCCAGAAACACCCCCGAUAUCUGGCGGGGGUGGCGGAGACCCAUUUAGCGGAGGAUUCGCAUCUUCAAGAAAACCUCCUUCCACCACAACCGAAGACGAUACAGGGGUUAUCAUCAUUGGUUGAGGGAAUAUCAUCUUCAAUUACAAGUGUUCUUUGUUUUUUACACUUCUAGAAAUAAAUGGUUUUUUAGAAUU
rnacentral:misc_RNA from 1 species